rnacentral:lncRNA from 1 species
AGCGACAGUGAGAAUCCAAUGUGGCAUCAGUUGAGGAGGACCCUUUCUACCAGACAUUGGGCUCAGGGCUGCCAGGGGUGAACAGUGCUAAGAAUGAACAGCAAAAUAUAUGCAGUUGAGAUAGAGGAGAAUGGAGCUUGGUGAUAUGGCUAGCAGAGAGGACAUCGUUUUAGACAGGGUUGCCAGGGAAUUGAACAAAACUAGGGUAUGAGCCAUGCAGAUAUCUGAAGCAAGAGUAUUCUUGGCAGAAAGAAUGGUAUGGAUAAGAGACCUGAGGUAGGAAUGGGCAUGGUUGGAAUGAUGGUUAAAAUAAUAGUUAUCUCACAAUCUUACAGGACUAUCGUGAGGACAGCAUAUGGCAACAUAUGUGUUAGAACCUAGAACAAUGUCUGGAGCUUAGCAAUCACUUAACAAACGAAUAUUUGAAAAAGUGAGAACUCCCCUCAAUUGUUCAUUUUUGACAAAUUAAAAUGCGAUAUAUAGCUAGAUUAUAUGGAGCAUGGUUGAAUUCUUUAAUGAGUCACAAACUGAAGGCUUUGGAAUCUGAUGGUGCCUCUCAUCAGAGUUGAUGUUGGUCAUCAACGUGCAGUAUUGUGAAAAGGAGCUCUGAUUAUAGGAAUCUGUAGCUUGUGUAGAUUCUGAAUAAAGCAAAAUUAUGUCAUUUAUAACAGCCAUCAUUUAACAAGUGUUUCCUAUAUUAGUCAGGGUAAAUAACAAACAAUCCCAUAAAUGCUAUAACCAUCCCCUAUAUGCUAUAACAAACAACCCCCUAAAAUAUGGCUUAAUGCAAAAUCAUUUUUUUCUCACUCACAGAAUUCAGUGUGGAUGCUAUUGGUCAGGUGACUGUCCUCUACACGGUGAUUCAAGGAUCCAGCCUCCUGCUACUUUGUGAUGCUGCUCUCUUCAACGUGAAUUCAUUGUGGAAAAAGAACAGAAAUAAGUGGAUUUCAGCCAACCCCUCAGGAAGAGGGAAGAGACAGAGAAGGGCUAUUUUGAUGGGGUUAAGAAUAGUGGCUUUCGAACCAGGCAGAGCUGGAAUUGAGUCCCUGCUAUGUGGCUUUCAAGCCUCAGGUUUUCCAUCUGUAAAAUGGGUCUAAUACUUACAGUGAUAACAAUUAUGAUGCUACAUACCUCAUAGGUUUGUGGUGCUAAGCACUUAAUCUAUAUUACGUCAUUGUUCUCACAAACACCUUGAGGGGAAGGUGUCAUGAUCAUCUGUUGGAGUUAGACAGCCUUCUAUGGU